GCACCUAUAGCUCAGUGGUAGAGCGUUCCACUCGUAAUGGAAAGGUCCGCGGUUCGAUCCCGCGUCGGUGCA